UACGUAGGGCGCAAGCGUUAUCCGGAAUUAUUGGGCGUAAAGAGCUCGUAGGCGGUUUGUCGCGUCUGCCGUGAAAGUCCGGGGCUCAACUCCGGAUCUGCAGUGGGUACGGGCAGACUAGAGUGUGGUAGGGGAGACUGGAAUUCCUGGUGUAGCGGUGGAAUGCGCAGAUAUCAGGAGGAACACCGAUGGCGAAGGCAGGUCUCUGGGCCACUACUGACGCUGAGAAGCGAAAGCAUGGGGUGCGAACAGG
rnacentral:rRNA from 1 species